rnacentral:lncRNA from 1 species
AUGAAGUGCUGCAGCUAGCGCAAAGUUGGAAGAGCCCACCUGCCAUCCCAUUUCCAGAAUAUCAUGAACGUCAGGACGCGCAGUGCGUGGGGAUUCCUAGGAUUACCCAGCGUACCCCGCGGGUAAAGAUGGCGAUAGAUGAAGAGGGUAGGAGAUCAACUUUGGCCGGGAACAACCAUAGCUGAAUUUCGGUUUUUAUAGAGAAUAAACCGUUAGUUAUCGGUUGUGUAAUUGCUUAAUGGUUAGGCACUUAUAUCAUUGUCAUUCGUGAGUCUACGCAACGUGAUCGAAUAAUUACAGCGCAUGAGCUUCCUUCCUUGCAACCAAACUGCAGACAGCGUCCGUCCUAAGAAGAGCGGAUAAAGUUUAUUACGGAUCUGACUCAGCCCUCUGACACUGAUUUAAAUUUUUUUUUAUUUGGGGUAACUAUAACAGCAGACAUUAAACAGGUUAUCAGUAGCCCAGAGGUUCACAUGCCAAGAAAGCGAGGAGGAGGACAAGGAGGAGGAGGGGCAGGAAGAGGAGCCAGAGGGGACACACCCAGGGCGAUCAGUCUGGAACACGUAGCAUACGCUCCUAAAGAAUGCCUGUGACUUAAGAACCUGUGGAUGAGGACAUCGCUGGAAUACCUCAGAAUUUGGGUAUGGUGGUUAUUUUCAUAGAACCUAUUUCUAUUUAUAAUAAUGAUAUACCUAGGGUUGUUUCAGUACAGUUAUAUUGCUAUGUUUAGGUGUGUGGGUUUACCAUGGGGAAAUGUUGCUGGUAUAAUAAGUCACCAGACGGGGCGGCAGGUAGCCUAGUGGUUAGAGCGCUGGACUAGUAAACCGAAAGGUUGCAAGAUCAAAUCCCCGAGCUGACGAAGGUAAAAAAAUCUGUCGUUCUGCCUCUGAACAAGGCAGUUAACCCAAUGUUCCUAGGCCGUCAUUGAAAAUAAGAAUUUGUCCUUAAAUAAAGGUAAAAUAAAACCUGGUAAUAGCGGCCUACCACAAAUUCCUUGUUUUGCUAAGUUUGCUGUAUUGUACAUUGCU